rnacentral:rRNA from 1 species
AAUCUUCCGCAAUGGACGCAAGUCUGACGGAGCAACGCCGCGCGAGUGAUGAAGGUUUUCGGAUCGUAAAUCUCUGUUGUUAGGGAAGAACAAGUAUCGGUGUCACUGCCGGUACCUGGACGGUACCUGACUAGAAAGCCACGGCCAACUACGUGCCAGCAGCCGCGGUAAUACGUAGGUGGCAAGCGUUGUCCGGAUUUAUUUGGCGUAAAGCGCGCGCAGGCGGUCUUUUAAGUCUGAUGUGGAAUCUUACAGCUUAACUGUAAGCGGUCAUUGGAAACUGGAGGACUUGAGUACAGAAGAGGAAAGCGGAAUUCCACGUGUAGCGGUGAAAUGCGUAGAGAUGUGGAGGAACACCAGUGGCGAAGGCGGCUUUCUGGUCUGUAACUGACGCUGAGGCGCGAAAGCGUGGGGAGCAAACAG